AAAUUGUUUUAUCUCUUUUUAGUUAAUUUACAGCAAAUAACUGAAAAGAUCAACACAGUGAAGAAAGAAAACAGAGAACUGGCUGAAGCAAUAUCCAUUUGGGAACAGAAGAUCAGUGAAUCAAAGAUACGUCUUCAAGAAGCUGAGAGAAGAAGUAACAUUCACUCCGCUGAAGCUCUUAAAUUGAAAGUAAGAAUCCCAUGGGGUGCCCGGGUGGCUCAGUCAGUUGAGAAUCCGACUUUGGCUCAGGUCAUGAUCUCACAGUUCGUGAGUUUGAGCCCUGUGUCGGGCUCUGUGCUGACAGCUCGGAGCCUUGAGCCUACUUCUCUCUCUCUCUCUGUGUCUCCCUCUCUCUGCCCCUUCCCUGCUCAUGUUCUGUCUCUUUCUGUCUCUCAAAG
rnacentral:lncRNA from 1 species